rnacentral:rRNA from 1 species
GAACCUUACCUGGUCUUGACAUCCCGGAGACCCUUAGGAAACUAGGGGGUGCUUCCAUCUGGAAGAAUCUGGAGACAGGUGCUGCAUGGCUGUCGUCAGCUCGUGUCGUGAGAUGUUGGGUUAAGUCCCGCAACGAGCGCAACCCUUGCCUUUAGUUGCCAGCAGUUCGGCUGGGCACUCUAAAGGGACUGCCGGUGUUAAACCGGAGGAAGGUGGGGAUGACGUCAAGUCCUCAUGGCCUUUAUGACCAGGGCUACACACGUACUACAAUGGCCGAUACAAAGGGCAGCGACACUGCGAGGUGAAGCCAAUCCCGUAAAAUCGGUCUCAGUCCGGAUUGGAGUCUGCAACUCGACUCCAUGAAGUUGGAAUCGCUAGUAAUCGUGAAUCAGAAUGUCACGGUGAAUACGUUCCCGGGCCUU